rnacentral:rRNA from 1 species
UAGUCCACGCCGUAAACGAUGAUAACUAAGUGUUGGGACCCAGAUCUCAGUGCUGAAGCUAACGCGAUAAGUUAUCCACCUGAGGAGUACGGUCGCAAGAUUAAAACUCAAAGGAAUAGACGGGGACCCACACAAGCAGUGGAUCACGUGGUUUAAUUCGACAAUAAACGGGGAACCUUACCCAGACUUGACAUCCUAAGAAUCUUUCAGAGAUGAGAGAGUGCCUUUAUUGGACCUUAGUGACAGGUGCUGCAUGGUUGUCGUCAGCUCGUGCCUUGAGGUGUUCGGUUAAGUCCGUUAACGAGCGCAACCCAUGUCUUUAGUUAUUAUGUCUAAAGNGACUGCCUUGGUUAACAAGGAGGAAGGUGUGGAUGACGUCAAAUCAGCAUGGCUUUUACGUCUGGGGGCUACACACAUGAUACAAUGGUAUGUACAAAGGGGGAGCAAUACAGUGAUGUGGAGCAAAUCCUU